rnacentral:misc_RNA from 1 species
UUUCCGUAGGUGAACCUGCGGAAGGAUCAUUAUUGUAUAACCGAGGUGCGAGGGCUGUCGCUGACCCGAAAGGUCGUGCACGCCCGAGUGCCCUCACACACAUCCAUCUCACCCCUAUUUGCACCACCGCGUGGGUCCCCCUUGGGCUUGUUCGGAGGGGGGCUUACGUUUUCACACAAACUUUGUAUGCAGUGUAGAAUGUAUUUUUUGUUUUUGCGAUCACGCAAUCAAUACAACUUUCAACAACGGAUCUCUUGGCUCUC